GGCCAGACUCCUACGGGAGGCAGCAGUGGGUUCUCUUGCACAAUUUUUUUAACCCUGAUUCAGCUACGCCGCUUUUUUUAAGGAGCUUUUCUGCGCGUAAAUCCCUAUCGGCAGUGAAGAAGGAGGACUUUACCUGACUAAGACGCCCCGGCUAACUACGUGCCAGCAGCCGCGGUAAUACGUAGGGGGCAAGCGUUAUCCGGAAUUACUGGGUGUAAAGGGAGCGCAGGCGGCAGUGCAAGUCUGGAGUGAAGGCCCGUGGCUUAACCACGGGACUGCUCUGGAAACUGUGCAGCUAGAGUGCAGGAGAGGCAGGCGGAAUUCCUAGUGUAGCGGUGAAAUGCGUAGAUAUUAGGAGGAACACCGGUGGAGAAGGAGGCCUGCUGGACUGUAACUGACGUUGAGGCUCGAAAGCGUGGGGAGCAAACAGGAUUAGAUACCCCGGUAU
rnacentral:rRNA from 1 species